CAGCCGCCGCGGUAAUACCGGCGGCCCGAGUGGCGGCCACUAUUAUUGGGCCUAAAGCGUCCGUAGCCGGGCUGGUAAGUCCUCCGGGAAAUCUGGUCGCUUAACGAUCAGACUUCCGGAGGAUACUGCUGGCCUAGGGACCGGGAGAGGCCGAGGGUAUUCCCGGGGUAGGGGUGAAAUCCUGUAAUCCCGGGAGGACCACCUGUGGCGAAGGCGCUCGGCUGGAACGGGUCCGACGGUGAGGGACGAAGGCCAGGGAAGCGAACCGGAUUAGAUACCCGGGUAGUCCUGGCUGUAAACGAUGCGGACUAGGUGUCGGGCAAGCUAAGGGCUUGUCCGGUGCCGCAGGGAAGCCGUUAAGUCCGCCGCCUGGGGAGUACGGCCGCAAGGCUGAAACUUAAAGGAAUUGGCGGG
rnacentral:rRNA from 1 species